GAUGAACGCUGGCGGCGUGCCUAAUACAUGCAAGUCGAGCGAACAGACGAGGAGCUUGCUCCUCUGACGUUAGCGGCGGACGGGUGAGUAACACGUGGAUAACCUACCUAUAAGACUGGGAUAACUUCGGGAAACCGGAGCUAAUACCGGAUAAUAUAUUGAACCGCAUGGUUCAAUAGUGAAAGACAGUUUUGCUGUCACUUAUAGAUGGAUCCGCGCCGCAUUAGCUAGUUGGUAAGGUAACGGCUUACCAAGGCAACGAUGCGUAGCCGACCUGAGAGGGUGAUCGGCCACACUGGGACUGAGACACGGUCCAGACUCCUACGGGAGGCAGCAGUAGGGAAUCUUCCGCAAUGGGCGAAAGCCUGACGGAGCAACGCCGCGUGAGUGAUGAAGGUCUUCGGAUCGUAAAACUCUGUUAUUAGGGAAGAACAAAUGUGUAAGUAACUAUGCACGUCUUGACGGUACCUAAUCAGAAAGCCACGGCUAACUACGUG
rnacentral:rRNA from 1 species